rnacentral:rRNA from 1 species
GAUGAACGCUGGCGGCGUGCCUAAUACAUGCAAGUCGAGCGAACAGACGAGGAGCUUGCUCCUCUGACGUUAGCGGCGGACGGGUGAGUAACACGUGGAUAACCUACCUAUAAGACUGGGAUAACUUCGGGAAACCGGAGCUAAUACCGGAUAAUAUAUUGAACCGCAUGGUUCAAUAGUGAAAGACGGUUUUGCUGUCACUUAUAGAUGGAUCCGCGCCGCAUUAGCUAGUUGGUAAGGUAACGGCUUACCAAGGCGACGAUGCGUAGCCGACCUGAGAGGGGGAUCGGCCACAAUGGAACUGAGAAACGGUCCAGACUCCUACGGGAGGCAGCAGUAGGGAAUCUUCCGCAAUGGGCGAAAGCCUGACGGAGCAACGCCGCGUGAGUGAUGAAGGUCUUCGGAUCGUAAAACUCUGUUAUUAGGGAAGAACAAAUGUGUAAGUAACUAUGCACGUCUUGACGGUACCUAAUCAGAAAGCCACGGCUAACUACGUG